AACAUCGCGCACCUGCGGGAACCUGCGGAGGGAUCAUUACAGAGUUGCAAAACUCCCUAAACCAUUGUGAACGUUACCUAAACCGUUGCUUCGGCGGGCGGCCCGGGUCCUUCCCGGCGCCCAUCGGCCCUCGCGGGCGCCCGCCGGAGGUAAACCAAACUAUUGCAUUGUAUGGCCUCUCUGAGUCUUCUGUACUGAAUAAGUCAGAACUUUUAACAAUGGAUCUCAGAUCGGAAGAGC
rnacentral:misc_RNA from 1 species